rnacentral:lncRNA from 1 species
AGAAAUUGACUUACUUGAUGGUUCUAAUAUUACGGGAAAAUAGAUUUUAUGGUCAAAUUAAACAUUUCAAACAUAAAUCUGUUUUCCCAACUUUGGAUGUAUUGGACAUUGCUUCAAACCAGUUUUCUAGUGAACUAUCCAUUGAUUUCCUUCAAGCCACUCGACUAAGGUCACUCAAAAUAGGUGGGAAUAAAUUGGAAGGGAAGCUGUCAAGAUCAUUAUUCAAUUGCACAGCACUUGAGGUUCUGGACCUUGGAAAUAAUAUGGUUCAUGAUACAUUUCCAUUUUGGUUAGAGAAGCUACUUUCCUUGAAGGUUCUCGUUUUGCGAGCAAACAGAUUCUACGGUACAAUUUCAAAAAUCGACACGAAACGUGGGUUUCUAAAGCUACGCAUAUUGGACAUUGGUUCCAAUCAUUUUUCAGGUGACUUGUCCAUUGAGUUUUUGCAAAGUUUGUGUUGGAGUUUGAGUGUACUUUAACCGGGUAAAGUAUGAGUUGCAAACAGAAUACCAGCAGCAACGUAUUAUACCCGGGUAAAAAAUGAAGGAAAAAUGCUUGAAGUUCAAGCUUUAAGAGCAGAAAUUGGAAGGAAAACAAGAACAGAACUAAAGCAAAGAAAGAAGGAGUAUAUGAUUAAAUGAAAUCUGAUAAUUUUCAUUCAUAAGAAACGUUGGCUUAAAGCCAUUACAUAUACCAGUCAUUGGCUGGUCAAAAAAUCAACAAAUUCAUCACCUAAACACUACCUAACUCCACUAGUUACAUAGGGACUAGGUGAUUUUGCUUGCAAACAUAAACAAAGCUGGUGAUCAGCUCUAUCACCAUCAAAUUACAUCAAACAUAAACUAAACUAAGUUCAAAAUGAACUAGAUUACAAAAGCAUAGUUAAACGGUAACAAAAUGUAACUGAGACAGAAAAGAAGCAUCAACCCCUUCAGUUGCAUGUAUUUUACCUGGGUAACUUGUGUGUAUGAAUUCUUGCACAUACUUUACCCGGAUAACAUAAGUGCAUUAAUUUUCACGUGCGCUUGAAUCUGCAUGGGCUGCAUGGGAACUAACUUCAACACUCCUCCUUAGUUUCUAUGCUGCAAACUCCAAGCUACUUUCUCAGUUUUACGAACCUUGACACACAAAGGGCCUUUGUGAAGAUAUCAGCAACUUGUUCCUCUGAAUUGCAAUGAAUCAGCUCCACCUCUCGAGCUUGUUCCAUCUCCCUUAUCACAUGUAACUUGAUGCUGAAGUGCUUCGUUCUGCCAUGGAAGACAGGAUUCUUUGCAAUUGCAACAGCAGACUUGUUGUCACAAAAGAUCUCUGUUGCCUCUCUUUGAUGUAGGUUAAGAUCAGCUAGAAUUUUUUUCAGCCAUAUGGCUUGAUUUACAGUAUUUGCAGCUGCAACAUAUUCAGCUUCUGCUGUUGAUUGAGCCACAAUCGAUUGUUUCUUUGAGCUCCAACAAAACAUGGUUGAGCCAAGGGUAAAAGCAUAUCCAGAGGUGCUUUUCAUAUCAUCACUUGAACCAGCCCAGUCACUAUCGGUAUAGCCUUUCAACUUCAAGGUUUCAGCUUUGUUGAAUAACACACCAUAGUCAAGAGUGCCUUUGAUGUACCUUAGCACUCUCUUUGCUGCUUGAAAGUGUUGGACAUUACAGCAAUGCAUAAACCUUGAUAACAUACUCACAGUAAACAAGAUAUCUGGCCUAGUUGCUGUCAAAUAUAACAAGUAGCCAACUAGGCUCCUGUAAGUAGACUCAUUGACUGGUUCAUGAUCUCCUUGGCUUGACAGCUUCAUUCCAACAGCAAUAGGAGUGCUUGUUAGCUUACAAUUCUCUAUCGAGAACUUGGACAAAACCUUCAAGGCAAAUGUUCUCUGUCCCAAGAAGAUUUUUCCUUCUAUUUGGCGCACCUCCAUUCCCAAAAAGUAUUUCAUUAGCCCCAAGUCAGACAUUUCAAACAUGUCCAUCAUUUUGGCUUUGAAUUCAGCCAACAUAUCUUGAUCUCCUCCAGUCACUAAAAGGUCAUAGACAUAGAGGGAUACAAUAAGCUGUAUUUCAGCUUCAUUCUUCUUGACAUAUAGUGUUGGCUCAUUAACACUUCUGUUAAAUCCCAAACUGACGAAGUAGCUAUCAAUUCGAGCAUACCAGGCUCUGGGAGCCUGUUUUAGGCCAUAUAAUGCCUUCUUAAGCCUGUACACCAUUUGUUCUUUGCCAGACACAACAAAUCCUUGUGGCUGAUCAAUGUAAAUCUUUUCUUCAAGGAAGCCAUUAAGAAAUACAGACUUCACAUCAAGCUGGUAGAUUUUCCACUGCUUCUGAGCUGCCAAGGCAAUCAGCAAUCUAAUGGUGUCUAGCCUGGCCACUGGUGCAAAUGUUUCCAGGUAGUCCAGACCAUAUUUCUGGCUGAAUCCUUUGACUACAAGCCUGGCCUUCAGUUUGUUCAAGCUCCCAUCAGCAUUUUGCUUGGCUCGAUAGACCUACUUUACUCCAAUAACCUUCCUAUUGGCUGGUCUAGGAACCAAUUCCCAUGUCUGGUUCUUCUCAAUCAUGGAAAUUUCAUCAACCAUUGCCUGUUUCCAGCCUUCAUCAGCUUCAGCUUCUUCAAAACUGCAUGGCUCCACUAUGGCAACUUGAGCCCUUUCAUAAAUUUCAGCCAAAGGUCUAGUGCCUCUGACUGGCAUGUCAUCAAUGUCCAUAUCAGGACUAUUUUCAUUUGACUCUAUUUGAUCAACCACAAGUUCUUCAGAGACAACUUCAGGUUCAUUCUUGUCCCAAUUCCAACAAGCCUUCUCAUCAAACACUACAUCUCUACUCACUUGGAUUUUGUUGGUUAAAGGAUCCAGGAUCCUAUAACCAUUUUUUUCCAUACUAUACCCGGUUAAAAUACCAGGAACAGCCCUUUUUGACAACUUGUCCCUCUUAACAGCUGGUACUUGGCUGUAACAUAGGCAACCAAAGACUUUCAUAUGAGCCAAUGAUGGCUUGAACCCGAACCAGGCUUCAAAAGGUGUUUUGUGAGCGAGUGCUUUGGUUGGAAGCCUAUUCUGAAUGUAGACAGCAGUAUUGACAGCUUCAGCCCACAUUGUCUUGGGUAGAUUUUUCUCAAACAAUAAGCAUCUGGCCAUAUCUAUCAAACUCCUGUUUUUCCUUUCACUAACCCCAUUUUGCUGGGGUGUGUAGACAUUGGUUAGCUGGUGUUUGAUGCCAGCAUCUUUGCACAAAGAUUGGAACUGAGCUGAAGUGUAUUCAGUUCCAUUAUCUGACCUAAUGGUCUUUAUCUUGCAGCCUGUUUCUGUUUCCACUGCAGCUUUGAACUUUAUAAACACUUCAGUAACCUCAGACUUAUGCUUCAAAAAAUAAACCCAGCAGUAUCUGGUAUAGUCAUCAAUAAGGAGAAUAAAGUACUUGUUACCACUUAGUGAUUCUGUCCUCAUGGGGCCACAAACAUCACUGUGCACCAGUUUCAACUUGCUUGAAGCUCUCCAGGUUGUGUUUGUAGGAAAUAGAAGCCUGGCUUGCUUUCCCAUCUGACAGACUUCACAAACAUUUUCACUCUGAACUGUCUUGGUGAAGUUUUCAACCAUUUCCUUACUGACCAUUUGAGCCAUAGAUUUGAAGUUGGCAUGACCAAGUCUUUGAUGCCAAAGCUUGGUGUCUUCAGUUGAAGCAACAUGAGCUGAGUGUGAGUCACCUGACCAGUUGACUUCAAAGCAUUUGUCACUCAUGGUGACUGUCAUGAGGCUUGAUCCAUUUGGAUCGGUGAUUUAGCACUCCUGGCCCUUGAACACAACUGAGUACCCCUUUCCUAGCAGUUGAGAAAUGCUAAGUAGGUUCCUGUCAAUCUCAGGUACCAACAACACAUUUUUGAUGAUUUUGUCACCUGUGGCAGUGCAUAUUUGCACAUCUCCCUUGCCUUCAGCAUUGAUGAACUGACCAUUUCCAAUUUUCACCUUGGUUUUGCAACUUUUGUCCAAGGUUUUGAAAAUUGAUGCAUCUGGUGACAUGUGGUUGGUGCAGCCACUGUCCAGCAACCAGCCUUUUGUACCUCUCAUCUGACCAGCUGAGCAUGAAACAGCAAAGACUUGUUCUUCAUGGUCACUACUUUCUUCAGCCACCCGAGCUUCUUCAUUCUUGUGUUGAGGUUGGUUUUGGCCAAGUCUGCCUUUUUCUUUGCAGACUCUUUCAACAUGGCCUUUCUUCUUGCAGUGUUGACACAUAGCAUCUGGCCUGAACCAGCAUCUGGCCUCUGGAUGAUCAGGUCUUUUACAAAAUCUGCAGAGUCGAUCUCCUCCUCUUGCAGCAUCAGGCUUAGGCUUGUUUUUCCAGUUCUUCUUGCCCUUAUAGACAGUGGUGCUUGAGGUUGCUUUGGCUUUGGCUUGAAAAGCUCCCUCCUGGUGCUCCUCCAUUCUACUGGCUCUCCUUUGUUCCUGAGCAUAGAGGGCAUUAAUGAGCUCAGUUAGGGAGAUUGUUGCCAGGUCUCUCGAAUCCUCCAAGGAUGAGAUUUUUGCCUCAUAUCUUUCAGGUAAUGUUGAGAGCACCUUCUCCACGAUCCUUGCCUCACUGAACUGUUCUCCUAGCAAUCUUAUGCUGUUGGCCACAACCAUUAUCCUGUCUGAGUACUGCUUCACUGUCUCUUCUUCCAUCAUCUUGAGAUUUUCAAAAUCUCUUCUCAAGUUUAAUAGCUGCUGCUGCCUAGUUCUUUCAGUGCCUUGGAACUCCUCCUUGAGCUUGUCCCAGGCCUGCUUGGGAGUCUCACAAGCUAUGAUUCUGGUGAAAAUAACAUCAGAAACACAGUUCUGAAUGCAUGACAUGGCCUUGUGCCUUUUAGUCCUCUCAUCUGCAUGCUGGCGAAUCUGAGCCACAGUGGGGUUGGCCCUCAGUGGAGCUGGCUCGAUGUCUGUGUUAACAACUUCCCACAGAUCAAAAGCCUGUAGGUAAGUCCUCAUCUUGACAACCCAUAUGUGGAACCCCUCACCAUUAAAAACUGGUGGUGCUGCAGGAGAAAAACCUGAUGAAGCCAUUUAAUUUUCAACAACAUGUCCUCUAAGAUGAAAGCUAUUGAUACCAAUUGUUGGAGUUUGAGUGUACUUUAACCGGGUAAAGUAUGAGUUGCAAAUAGAAUACCAGCAGCAACGUAUUAUACCCGGGUAAAAAAUGAAGGAAAAAUGCUUGAAGUUCAAGCUUUAAGAGCAGAAAUUGGAAGGAAAACAAGAACAGAACUAGAGCAAAGAAAGAAGGAGUAUAUGAUUAAAUGAAAUCUGAUAAUUUUCAUUCAUAAGAAACGUUGGCUUAAAGCCAUUACAUAUACCAGUCAUUGGCUGGUCAAAAAAUCAACAAAUUCAUCACCUAAACACUACCUAACUCCACUAGUUACAUAGGGACUAGUUGAUUUUGCUUGCAAACAUAAACAAAGCUGGUGAUCAGCUCCAUCACCAUCAAAUUACAUCAAACAUAAACUAAACUAAGUUCAAAAUGAACUAGAUUACAAAAGCAUAGUUAAACGGUAACAAAAUGUAAUUGAGACUGAAAAGAAGCAUCAACCCCUUGAGUUGCAUGUAUUUUACCCGGGUAACUUGUGUGUAUGAAUUCUUGCACAUACUUUACCCGGAUAACAUAAGUGCAUUAAUUUUCACGUGCGCUUGAAUCUGCAUGGGCUGUAUGGGAACUAACUUCAACAGUUUGAAGGCAAUGAUGCAUUUAACAAAUGACGAUAAAGCUAAGCUGGUUUACAUUGGGGAGGACUAUCAUCAAGACUCUGUGACAAUUGUUAACAAAGGGAUUGAAAUGUUCUACCAAAAGGUCUUGACAAUUCUUACUUGUCUUGACCUUUCCAACAAUAGUUUCCAUGGGAGAAUACCAGAAGAGAUACAAAUGCUGAGGUCGCUCAGAGUGAUGAACUUAUCCAAUAAUGGCUUCUCUGGUGAAAUCUCAUUAGCACUUCAAAAUCUAAAAGACCUUGAAUCUUUGGAUCUCUCAAGAAACAAGCUGUCAGGGAAGAUUCCUCUACAACUUAUAAGUCUAACUUUCCUGGCAGCAUUGAACUUGUCAUACAACCAACUUGAAUGAAGCAUACCACAAAGCAACCAAUUCAUUACAUUUACAAAUGAUUCCUACCGUGGGAACCCAAAAUUGUGUGGGCUGCCUCUGUCAAGGAAAUACAAUGAAGUUGAUCUUCGAAUGCCACCACCUCCAGGGGAAGAUGAAGAUUCAUGGUUAUAUGCUAUGUCUACUUGGAAAAUUGCGUUGAUAGGUUAUGCUAAUGGAUUGGUUGUUGGGCUAUUUAUUGGAUAUACAGUGCUGAAUGAGUUGGGAAACAAAUGGGUUGAGAAGUUCAGAAAGUGAGGGAAAAGAAAUAGAAGAAGAUGUAGGUGACUCCCUCAGAAUUCUUGUUUCAAAAUUAGCUUGUAAGCAUUAGUCUUUCUAAUUUGAAAAGAUAGUUGUUGAAAAAUAAUUUUUCUAUCAUAUCGUACUUGUAGCAUUGAAAUUCAUUUUCCAGAUUCUAUUGUAAUUUUAUGUAUCAUUUUGCAAUGCAGGACAUGGAAUGUCUAGUCAGGAGGAAUGUCGAGUCAGGAGGUACGUUAUCUUGGAAGAAAAUGGCAAUUAGUUUCUUAUGGCUGCAAGUAUUUUUCAAUCACGUGUUAGGCUUUAGGUCCGGGUGUAAAGGGUGGACCUGUUGGUCCGGGUUUUAGUGCAGCCUGACACUUGUUUUUAUAUUAGUCUAUUUAUCCUUUCAAUGAUAGUCUUAUUACGUUACAAAUUACCAUUCAAUUAAACUUUGUAUGUAAUAAUAUGAUAAUAAUAAUUAAAAUAUAAUGAAAGAAAUUAUGUGUUACAAUCUAGUAUGUUUUCCAAUGUUAGCCAAAGGCCAACACUAUCUCACACUAUUAUUACAAUGUACACAUACUUUUUAUGGAAAUUUAUCCAAUGAAACAGAGCACUAAACUAGUUUCCCAAAUGCAGGGAAGAAUUGGUAUGCCACAAUACUAUGAAAAUGAUUAAGAAAAAAAUACUAAUAACAAAAAAAAAUGGUAAUGGAAUCACAGUAAUUGAAAUGAUGAAGAAGGGUGUUUACCUGGAUUAUCAGCGACGAAUCUGAUGGUUGCCCAUCCAUUCAAAGGCACUCCAACAGUGUUCCUCACAGGUGGAUCAACAAGGUUGAAUUUAGAAGUAUCCUUUUUAGGAUCGAAGUUCCCGAAACCUUGUGCAAUGAUAUAGAAAUCGUAUAGAAGCUGAAUUGGAUGAUUCUCAGAUGUCACUAUGCUUGUGUCUUGGAGCACAAUUUUGUACCCAAAAAAUGUUGGUAUGGGUUAGAGGUGACUGAGAUGUUGAUGCUGAUGUGGUUGGUGGUGGCAAUGAUGAAGGUGAGUGAAGAAUGGUUAGUGAUGGAGGAUGCCUCCAUAGAGAUGGGAGCCGAAAGUGUUAAAAGAAAAAUGGUGGAAAAAAAGCCCCCGGUUAGAAGCUUUGCUAGAAUUAAAAUUGAAUUAAAUUGAAUUUACCACAAAAUGUUGAUUUGUAUCCCGAUGAAAUUUGGUGUCUACUUAAAAAUAGAUUAAAAUACAAUGAAAUAAAUGAUGCCUUACAAUUUGGUGUGCUUUGUAGUGUUAGUAAAUAAUCCAAAACACUAGAAAAUUGGAACUAACUUUAGAUUUAAAAAAGAAAAAAAAAUCCAUAUUUUAGAUUUAAAAAAUUAUUUGUUGUUUAAUCUCAUGGUGGUGGAAUUUGUUUGAUAAACUUUGAAAAAUGAAACUUUUGAAAUUGGAGUUAAAAUUUUCAAAUAGGGAUAAAUCUCGUUAAUCUCAUUUGUCUUUGAGAAUUUCAAAUAGGGAUAAAUUUCAAAAUUAUAUAUAAACUUUGAUUUAAUGUGAAAUUGUAUAUAUAAACUUUAGUUUGGUGUAAUUAUACACGUGGAACGAUAAUUGUGGUUCAAAUGAUACUUUAAACUUUAAUUUUGAUUUAAUCAUACACAUUUAAUGAAAUAAAUAUAUCAAUUUAUUUUUAUAUUGGAUAAAUAUAAUUAUUUAUGUAUACAAUAUAUAAACAUAAAAUAAUAUUAUAUCAAUAAUUGUGUUAAUAAAUUAUAAAAACUGGAUCAAAUCAAAAUUUUAUGUAUAACAUUAUACAAAAUCAAAAUUCAUAUAUACAAUUACACAUUAAACAAUAAUUUAUAUAUAAUUUUAAGAUUUAUCCCUUUAAAUUAAAUUUAAGGAAGUCACAAUUUAAAUAUGUUGAAAAGAAAUUGUUAAGAAGAGAAGAAUUGUAUCAUCAAAAUUUCCGCUAGUCAUGUCCAUCAAUCCAUCUCAACUACCUAAGAAAUUUGCUAAACAUUGUUUUAAUGCUGUAGUGAAGGGGCAAAAAGAUUUAGACAUUAUUUGCAUGGAAUGCCAAAGGUUAAGACUAGGUCUAGUAAUAUUAAAAAUAUCUCAUAGUAUCAUUCUUUUUAGUCAGUCCAAAAUUAAAAAUAUUAAAUUUUUUGUGUUUCACUUGGUUUGAUAAACUUUGAAAAAAAAUGAAAUUGGAAUUGAAUUUUUCAAAAAAUUGAAAAAUUGUUAAAUAGUAUAAUUUUAAUUAAAUUUAAAAGAAUUUAAGUAUAAAAAUUUAAAUAUGUUUAUUUCAAAGAAAUUGUUAAGAAGAAAACAAUUUUAUACAUUCUAUUAUCAAAAUUUCCACAACUUAUGCCCCAUCAGUCCAUCUCAGCUACCUAAGAAACUUGAUAGACAUUGUUUUCAUGUAAAAAGAUUUAGACAUUUGCAUGCAAUGCCAAUUAGGUUAAGACUAAGUCUAAUAAUAUCUCAUACUGUGUCAUUUUCUUAGUCAGUCCAAAAUUAAAAUUAUUAAAAAUUUUAAUUAAAACAUUAAUGAUAGUUUGAAGACUUAAUUGGAAAAGUUUAAAGUUUAGAUAUUAAUUUAUAUUUGAUUCAUAGUUUGGGGCAAAUGGACUGGAACAUUGGAAUAUUAUUCAGAUGGAGCAAAAUGGAAUUGGAAUUCUUUUGAAAAAAAAAUGGAAUUGGAUCUAAAAUUUUAAAAAAAGUUGUUAAUAGUAUAACACAUCUUGUCUAAUCCUUCAAUGAAUAGUCUCCAUUUCAUUAAUGCUUUAUUUUUGUGUUUAUAAUGACUUGACUUAAACAAAGUGGUAAACCAUUGUUUUCAUAUAGCAAGGAUCUGGCAAAAAGACUUACACACAUUGCAUGCAAUGCCAAAUAUUAAAUUUAGAAUUGAGCCCAUAAUUUGAGGUGUUUGAUUUAAUUAAAUCAAUUGGUAGUGUCGAAACUAUUUUUUUUAAAAAAAACGGAGUCGACUUAGAUUUAGAAAAUGAAAACGAACAGAAGAGUCGCCACCAAUUUGUUUUAUGAGAUGUGAUCGGGUCACCUCGUGUAGCGACGUGAAAAUUUAGCUUAGCUUGGUCGCUAAUUGUGGCGAUUUAUUGAAAAAAGUUUGAAAUUUGACGUUUGAUUUUUGAAAUAAACAGGGAGUCGCCACAGAUCCUUUUUCCUAGGUGUGAUCGGACACCUAUUAGAUCUCUUAUUAAAACAAAUAAAAGGCUGAGUUUAGGUCUACAUUAAAAUCCAGAGAAAAAUUAGGGUUCGGGAGUCGGUUACGCGCGAGGAAGGUAUUAGCACCCUCGCGACGCCCAAAAUUGGUAUCUUAUAAACAAGUGUUGUCUUAAUUUUCAAAAUUGCAAGUUCAAAGUAACAUUGAAUCGUGAUCCAAUCAAAACACGAGAAAUUUCAAGUUUCGUUUUCUUUUGAGAAGGAUAUACCGUUUUAACACGAGUCGAUUGAUAUUCACCCAACAUAGCGAUGAAAUCGAUGACAUAGUGUUAAUAUUUUUUCUCUUUCACACGCUUCCGUGCAACAAUUUUUGACCAAAGGUCCAUCGAUUCAGCUGAAUUUUAUAUAUGUUGGCCUUGCUAUUGCGGGUAAAAAGGUAGUUAAUGGUUGAAGCAUAUGCAAAGCCUGUUAUAGUCCAUGGAGCACUGAUUGUGGGCAACAAUGCAAAAUUAUUGACAUUAUCCUAAACUUUUAUAAAAUCAAAACUUAGCAGUGAAAUUCAAUACAAAACUUCAAAUUUCAAAACUUAGCAGCCUCUGAUCCUCUUAUGGCCCGGUGUCGUUGGAUUCAUGUUGUCUGGGAAAUUUUGAGACGGUGUAACAGAAACCGAUCUGGUUUUGGCUCUAACACCAAUGUUGAGGAAACAUGGUCAUCGUGUUGUUGGCGAAUUUAUUGAGUUUUAUGGUUAGGUGUAUGGUCAGAAAUCUUGACAAUCGAAUGCUUCACAAUCAAUAAUAUUGGUUUUAAUGUGCAUAUAGGAGAAGGUGUGACUAAAUUAUCAUUGGCUAAUCGAACACAAUUGCAGAUAUGGCUACUGAAUAUGGUGCAGCCAUGUGUUUCUUCCUUAUGGAUCAUAUAACCUAUUUGGUAGUUUAUAUCGGAAUCUGCUCUCUCAUGGGAUCUCUUACAGUUUGUUGAUUACUUUUAAGGCUUCUUCCUCUUUCUCUUUCUCUUCUUCUUCUUUUAUUUUAAUUUUAAUUUAUAUUAUAUUUAUUAUUCAAUUUUUUGAAGCUUUUCAUGUGACACACUUCAGGAUUGUUGUUCAAAUAGGGUCGGAAGCGUGUAAAUUAUUGUACUAAAAAAUCACACAAAGUUCAAUUCCCAGGGAAGAGAGGUGGAUCACAUGGAUCUCUUAAAUACCAAGUCUUUCCUUAGUCAGAAUAUCCCUUCUAUAGUAAUUUAAUAGCACAAUUAAAUACUACUAUUAUACCCUCCAAUAUUGAAAGAAAAAAAAAGGACAAGAAAGAACACAAGAGUUUUAACGAGGUUUGGUAAAUUAUACCUACGUCCUCAGGCACUCACACCAGAUGAUAACUUUAAUAUCUCCAAAAUAUUACAAACAAAUAGAAUUCUUUAAGAAUUCUCAAAUGGGAGAAGAGAGAAAACUAAGAGAGAAAGAUUGGUUGGGAUGAAUUGAAAUGAGAAAUGAGAAGGCCUAUUUAUAGUUGAGGUUCAAGGACCAAACAAUAAAUAGCCCUUAUCUCAAUGACAAAAAAAAAUUAUCCCAUUCCACUUUUUCAAAGUCAACUUUAGGGUGCUAAACUUGCACCACUUGGAUUGUUUGCCAUUAAAAUUGUCUGCCAUUAAUCAUUAAUGUUAACAAUCUCCACCUUGAAGAUUUGAUUAGGAUAAUCACAUCUUCACACACUUCCUUUAACUCCCCAAAUUCGAUAAAGCUAUCUUCUGUAGUGCCUCCAAAUGCGCUCUCGAGCGCCAUACACCUGAAGGUGCUCAAAUUCUCAGGAUGUUAAUCAAGUUCAAACAAUGAUUAAACUUGAUUGUUGUUACCACCUUGGUCAUCAUAUCUGCGGGAUUAUCUGCUGUCGGAAUCUUCUAAAGUAGGAUUUUUCCUUUUUCAAAGACUUCCUACACAAAGUGAUAUCUUACGUCGAUAUGCUUGGUUCUUGAAUGAUAGAAUUGAUUUUUCGCUAAAUGAAUAGCGCUCUGACUGUCACAAUAUAGACUAAUGUGACUUUGAACAACUCUCAAGUCUUUCAACAAUCCAUUAAGCCAAAUAGCCUCCUUAACAGCUUCUGUAACUGCCAUAUAUUCUGCCUCUGUAGUAGACACAGCUACUGUAGCCUGUAAGGUAGACUUCCAACUCACUGGGGCUUUAGCAAGAGUAAACAGAUACCCCGUAGUUGAACGACGUUUAUCUAAAUCCCCAGCAAAGUCGGAAUCAACAUAUCUAACUACAAAUUGACCAAGUGUUUCAUCCUUCUCAAAAACUAAACCAAUGUCUACGGUUUUUCAAAGAUAUCGUAGAAUCCAUUUCACAGCUUGCCAAUAUCCUUUUCCAGGAUCAUGCAUAUACCUGCUCACAACUCCAACAGCUUGUGAAAUGUCAGGCCGCGUACACACCAUCGCAUACAUCAAACUCCCAACUACAUUAGCAUAUGGGACUUUUGCCAUAUAUUCUCUUUCUUCUUCAGUUUUCGAAGAUAAUUGAGCACUAAGUUUCAAAUGAGAAGCAAGUGGGGUACUUACAUGUUUUAUGUUUUCAUUUACACCAAAACAUUGUAAUACAUUUUUCAGAUAUUGCUUCUGAUUCAAACAAAGCUUGCCUCUCUGUCUAUCUCUACUUAUUCCAUGCCGAGAAUCUUCUUGGUCUCACCUAGAUCUUUCAUCUUGAACUCUUGAUUCAACUGAGCCUUCAGCUUGUCUAUCUCCUUUUGGCUCUUCGAAGCGAUUAACAUGUCAUCAACAUAUAAGAGUAGAUAAAUGAAAGAUCCGUCAUGCAGCUUCUACAAAUACACACAAUUGUCAUAUUUACUUCUUGUGUACUUCUGCCUUCUCAUAAAGUUAUCAAAUCGCUUGUAUCACUACCUCGGGGAUUGCUUCAAUCUAUAUAGCGAUUUGUUCAGCUUACAAACCCAAUUUCUACCACCAACAUCUGUGUAUCCUUCAGGCUGAGUCAUAUAGAUCUCCUCUUCUAACUCACCAUGCAAGAAAGUCGUCUUAACAUCAAGUUGAGCUAGCUCCAAAUUCAACUGUGCUACCAAGGCCAACAAAAUUCUAAUGGAGGAAUGCUUCACAACAGGGGAAAAUACAUCAUUGUAGUUAAUUCCCUCCUUCUGAGCGUAGCCUCUAGCUACCAAUCUUGCCUUGUAGCUAACAUUUUUCUUGCUAGGAGAUCCAUCUUUCUUUGCGAACACCCACUUGCAUCCAAUUGCCCUUUUACCUUUCGGUAAUUGCGCCAACUCCCAAGUAUUGUUCUUCUGGAGAGACUGCAUUUCUUCAUCCAUGGCGCUUUUCCAUUUGUCACUUUCUAAGCUUUGCAUUACUUCUUGAUAAGUGACAGGAAUAUCAUCAUCAACAAUGGGAAGGGCGUAGGCUACCAUAUCAGUUAAUCGAGCAGGUCUACGAAUUUCUCUCCGUGGCCUUGCAACUGCAACUGGUUCUGGUGUACUUAAUGGUUCUUGGGUUAGAACCUCUUCAACCUCUAAUUCCUCCAUUGUGGCUGGAGAAUUAGACUUAUUAACUGGGCAAAUCCCCAUCUGCUCAAACUCCACCUGUUUUGGAGUACACUCCACCUGCUGUGGAGUAUCGCUCGUCUGAAUAUCUUUAUCUGCUACCUUUUUAAAUGUGGCAGAUUCAUCAAAUGUAACAUCUCUGCUACAGAUUAUUUUCUUUGUGCCUAAGCACCAAAGACGAAAUCCCUUCACUCCAGAAGUGAUUCCCAUAAAUAGAGCUUUUUUUGCCCUCGGAUCUAACUUUGACUCCUUCACAUGGUAAUAUGCAGUGGAUCCAAACACAUGUAAGGAAUCAUAAUCUGUAGCCAGUUUUUCAGACCAUACCUCCAAAGGAGUUUUUCUUUCUAAUGCAGAUGAUGGCAAAUGAUUAACAAGAUGGCCAGCGUAUGUCACAGCCUCAGCCCAAAAUUGCUUGCCCAGCCCAGCAUUGGACAACAUACAUCGAACUUUCUCCAGCAAUGUUCGAUUCAUACGCUCUGCCACUCCAUUCUGCUGUGGUGUAUCCCUAACUGUGAAGUGUCAAACAAUACCAUACCCUUGGCACACAUCGAAGAACGGAUCACUUUUAUAUUCCCCUCCAUUGUCCGUCCUAAGCAGCUUAAUUUUCUUGCCAGUCUGGUUUUCGAUCAUAGUUUUCCAUUUAAGAAAAACUCCAAGCACUUCAUCCUUAGUUCUCAUGGUAUACACCCAAACUCUUCUGGAAAAGUCAUCAACAAAAGUAACAAUAUAGUGUCUUCCUCCCAACGAAGGUGUUUUGGAAGGCCCCCACACAUCUGAGUGAACAUAUUCCAAAAUACCUUUUGUAUUAUAGAUAGCAGUGCUGAAUUUCACCCUCUUUUGCUUUCCCAGAACACAAUGCUCGCAAAAUUUUAAUUUGCAAGCCUUUGCACCUUUCAACAAUCCUUGCUUUGCCAGAAUUUGCAAGGAUUUUUCAUUGGCAUGUCCCAACUUCAUAUGCCACAUGCCAACCGAUUGAUCGCCUUUCAAUCUUUCUCCUGUACAUCAUCUGGUUUCUCUUUAUCGAUGGCAAUGUCUAGGCCCUGCUGAAAAAGGGUAUCUAGAACCUCACUUUGCCACAUACCAAAAUGGCCCGUGCCAUCAAAGAUCUCCACGGCCAAUCUUGCAUUUACAAUUGUCGGUCUUGUCCACAUGGACGAUGUUGAAGCUCCUAAACCGUCCAUCUUCUCCAUAAUCUUUCAAUAUACCUAAGGAAAUCUUUUCUGAUGUGGAAGAUCAGUUUAAACUGCAACCACAGAGCAUACUACAAUUAACCUUCAGCUCUUGAUACCACUUGUUGUUCCAAUAGGGUCUGAAGCAUGUAAAUUAUUGUACUAAAAAAUCACACAAAGUUCAAUUCCCAGGGAAGAGAGGUGGAUCACAUGGUUCUCUUAAAUACCAAGUCUUUCCUUAGUCAGAAUAUCCCUUCUAUAGUAAUUUAAUAGCACAAUUAAAUACUACUAUUAUACCCUCCAAUAUUGAAAGAAAAAAAAAGGACAAGAAAGAACAUAAGAGUUUUAACGAGGUUCGGUAAAUUAUACCUACGUCCUCGGGCACUAACACCAGAUGAUAACUUUAAUAUCUCCAAAAUAUUACAAACAAAUAGAAUUCCUUAAGAAUUCUCAAAUGGGAGAUGAGAGAAAACUAAGAGAGAAAGAUUGGUUGGGAUAAAGUGAAAUGAGAAAUGAGAAGGCCUAUUUAUAGUUGAGGUUCAAUGACCAAACAAUAAAUAGCCCUUAUCUCAAUGACCAAAAAAAAAAUUAUCCCAUGCCACUUUUUCAAAGUUAACUUUAGGGUGCUAAACUUGCACCACUUGGAUUGUUUGCCAUUAAUCAUUAAUGUUAACAAGGAUAUCAUUAUGAGGACAUGAAUCUUCAAAGAUUCUUUAGAUGCAUGAAAAAUUUAGAAAAAAAAAUGAAUAUAUCUGUAUCGAAUACAUAUACAUAUUCAACUUGCAUUCUAAUACAUUUGUUUUAACAACCAACUUUUCGUUCUCAUAGGUAAUGGGUGUAAAAGCAGUAGGAAUCGCGCUGAAGCUGUCGUUUGGAGGAAUGAAUCAGUUUAAAUACUUCGAAAUAUGGAUUUUCACAAUAAUUGUGAUCUUUUGCUGUCUUCUGCAAAUAAAUUACUUGAACAAGGUGAGUGAUGAGACUUAGAUUUCAUUACCCUUUGUCAAUGAGCAUAAUUAUACAUUGGUUUAGUUUGUGUCACUCGAAUUUUGUUUGAAUGUUGAAUACAGGCAUAUUAGACAUGGAGGUUUUUAUUUUUUAACUGUUUUCCAUAUAUUUAAAGGAUUUUAUUCCCAUACACGAGUCUAUAUAUAUAUAUGUGUGACAUGCGUAUUUUAAUGAAACUGAAAGUUGAAAUAGAUAAAUUAAGUGCUUUACAAGUUUUGGCACUACUAGUAAUUUGGACAUCAACAUUGUAAGUUACUCAUAAUUAAGUUGCUUAUAGGAUACAAAAGCAUAAAUGUGUGUUUUUUUUUAAAUAAUUUCUUUCAAGCUUAUAUUCUUAAUUUAAUGUGAUGAUUGACUCUAAAUGUAUGUUAUUGUUGUUAUUCUUGAUGGUACUAAAAGCUUAAAAUUUUGCAGGCUUUAGACACCUGUAAUACUGCUGUUGUAUGUCCUGUUUACUAUGUCAUGUUCACAACAUUCACCAUUAUUGCCAGCAUUAUCAUGUUUAAGGUAAGGGUUUAUUUUUUAUUUUUUUUAUACAUCCUUAAUCCACUUAUAUGGGUAGGGAUUGUGAGUAAAUUGAGCUUUUAACCAACAAAAAUAUAUAUAUAUAUUUUACUUUUGAGUUUGACUAACCUUCUUAUGGAGAUGUGUUUGACUAUUUUCAUGAACAUCACAAACACAUUUAUUUAGUUUAUAUGAAUAAACGUGAACAUAAAUAGGCUAAAAAAUAAAUUAACGGAUCAAACUUGAUUCCUAUACAAUCCUACUUACAAAAAUCUUGUGUUUUUGUAUAUAAUAAUGUAUUUUUCUUUUUUGUUUUCCUAAAGGAUUGGAAUUCACAAGGUGGGACAGAGAUUACAACAGAAUUAUGUGGAUUUAUUACAAUUUUAGCAGGCACAUUCCUCCUUCACAAAACCAAAUAUAUGGGAAAAAGUUCCAGUGGUCGACUCCCUGUUUAUACAUCUCUUGAACCAAAUACAGUUUCCGAAUCUAGAUAGUUAGCCCUACAGGUUUGGAACUCGCAUUUGGAUUCUAAUCCUUAGCUUUCUUGCAUUUAGUAUAGUACAAGAAAGAUAAAAAAAAAAAAGAAGAAGAAGAAGAGAGAGAGAGAAAGACAAACAAAAGUAGAAUUAGGAGUUUUUUUUUUAUUUGAGGUUUAUGGACAUUUUCUAUGUGAAAAGUUGCAACUAAAAUGUUUAUGAAAUAGGUUUUUUAGUUUCCUUCUGCUUUUUUAUUUAUAAUUUUUUUCAUAAUAUGUUUGAGUUUGAUAUUUAAUCAUUAGAACUAAAAACCCAAUUCUCUACUAAUAAAUCAAACAAUUGUUAGUUUUUGGUGUUAUUUUUGAGGUCUUAUGUAUUUGACUUAUGUUUAUAGUGGUGACUGGUCAAACUUAUAGGGUAUAUAAAAAACAUUAUCAUUUAUAACUAUACAUAUAUGAUAUGUAUGUAUGUAUGUAUGUAUGUAUGUACAUAAUGUAUAGUCAGCUGAAGAAUUUGUUUUGAGUUUAUAGUGAGUUCAAAGUUUUUUAUUUUAUUAUAUUUUACAAAUCCUUAAACCAUAAAUUUACAUUUCAAUUAGAAUUUGAAUCUAAUAAUGUAUUAUAAAAAAUAAUUACAAAUACAAUGAUAGAAAUUAAAUAUAUUAAAAAUUUCAAAAUUCUACAUAUUGUGUCCAUCAAUCUAGCUAAGACUUGACUUGUACACAAUGGUUGAACGUUAUUUUUAUGCAGUAUUAAUUACUUGGACAUUUGCAUUCAAUGCCAAAGACUUAAUACUUAAUAUUUUGUACACUAUCAUUUUUUUCCAAAAUUAAAUAUAUUAAAAAUUUCAAUUUAAAUCAUUAUCAUUUAAAAUUCGAUGUAUAAUUUUGCAAUAUAAAGUGAUUUAAAUCUUUGAUAAAUUAUAGCAUAUUUAUAAAUUCAAUAUUCAUUAACAAAUUGAUUUUAUAUUAUAAGUUAAAUUAUUUUAAAUAAUUUUGAAAUUUUUGUUGAGAGAGAUCAAUUUAUUAAUUUUUAAAAUUGAAAGGGACUAAAAGAGUAUGUACAUCAAUUUGAUGUUUGAAUUAUUCGAGUUAUUUAGAUUAUAAUAUUCAACUCGGAACUCCAAUUGUAAAUAUUUUUAAUAAUAUAAAACAUAAAAAAUAUUAAAAUUAAAUAAUAAUAUAGAAAUGAAAAUAUUUCUCCAAAUUUCUCACCCAUAUACACUCUAAGAAAUCAAAACUGGAAGUGAAAAUUUCUAUAUCUUCUAUUAUCAAAAUUUCCACUCAUUGUGUUCAUCAAUCUCUAAUGUGACUUGACUCGUACACAAUGGUUGGACGUUGUUUUUGUGCAAUAAAAACUUAGAUAUUUGCAUGCAAUGCCAAAAACUUAAAGACUUAAAAGUCCUAUAAUAUUUUAAACUAUCAUUUUUUCUGGUCCAAAAUUAAAUGUAUUAAACAUUCCAAUUUAAAACUUACGAAUUUAAUUAGAACAUCGUGAAGUUCAGGGAUCAAUUUAAAAUUCGAUGUAUAGUUUUGAGAUAUAAGGUGAAUUAAUCCUUUGAUAAAUCAUAACAUAUUUACAAGUUCGAUAUUCAUUAACAAAUUGAUUUUAUAUUAUAAGUUAAAUUUUAUUUUUUUUGUACCAUAACAAAAUUUACUUAAAAAAAUUAAAUUGUAAUAUUUUUAUUUAAAAAAUUAAAUGAUGUAGAAAUAAUUAUAUAGAACAUAAAAAUUGAUAAAAUUUACCUGAGUUUAAAAUAAUUUAAAGUUCAAAUAUUUGUAACAUCCAUAUUAAAAUUUACUUUAUCAAUAAGAAAAAUGAGAUGAAUAAAAUAUUAAAAUCUCAUUCUUCAAAUUUAAAAUUAACAAAAAAGAAAAGCGUAAGGCAAAUUAAGUGUAAAUUUAACUACUUAUUUCUAAUACUAACAAUAAAUAAUUUAUGCUUUAUCACUAUCUGCUUUAAAUAAUAAUUAUUAUCCCUUGCUUUAAUUUGUUGGAAAAAAUUGACCAAAAAGACUUAACUAAAAUUGACCAAAAAGACUUGGAAAUUGCAUGCAAUGGCAAUCACUCGUAAACGUUGUUCUAUGGAAACUACACAUUUGUGUAUAAAUAAGUUGUAUGCCAAACACAAUCCUCCCUCACACCCACCCAACAUGAACACUCUUCAUUCGCUUAUUUCACUCUCUCUUCUCAUGCUUCCUUCCUCUUCUCUUGUCUUUUUUACUUCCUCAAACUCAUCUCCCAAUGCCAUGCCUUGAUGACCAGAGAUCUACUCUGCUGCUAUUGCAACAUCAUCUUUACUAUGCCCCUCAUUUUAAUUUCUCUUCCAAAUUUGAGCAUUGGGAUCCCAACACUCAUUGUUGCUCCUGGAAAGGGGUCACUUGUGAUGCUCUUGGUCAUGUCGUUGGCAUUGAUCUUAGUAACAAAAACCUUUCCGGUAGUUUUCACUCCAUUUUCCGUCUACGUCAUCUUCAACGCUUGAAUUUUGCUGGAAACAACUUUAAUACCACUUUGCUUUCUUAUGGGUUUCACAAACUCCAAAAUCUAACCCAUCUCAAUCUUUCAAGCUCACGUUUUGUUGGAAAUUGGCCAUCCAUGCUGCUGUUAUGUUUUUGUUGAGUGCAUACGGCUUGUAUGCAUGCUGCAUGCUGCAGCAACAUGUUGACUGUUGUAGCUGCAAUUUAGUUUAGUUUGGUUGAAAAUGAACUUAGUUAUUGAUGUUUUGAUAGGUUUAGGUGAUGAUUGAGCUGAUAAUUCAGCUUAUUGAUGUGUACAAGUAAUGCUUAGCAAGUCCCUAGGCUACUAAGUGGGAGUAGGUAGUAUUUGGUAAUGUGUUUUGUUUUUCUUAUUGAAAAAAUUGAGCAAAAUGAGCUGAAGCCAUAGCUCCCUUGCAGCACAUUUGUGAGCAAGUAAAAAUACUGCCUUGUUCUGUCCUGUAUUUCUUCCUCUGCUCUGCUCUUCCUUCAAAAAUCCCCAACAAUAGAUAAAAGCUUGAACUUCAAGCAUUUUUCCUUCAUACUUUACCCGGGUAUAAUACGUUGCUGUUAGAGCUCUGUUUGAAACUCUUACUUUACCCGGUGUAAGUGCACUCAAAAACCCAACACGUUUCCAUGGCCAAAUUCCAGUGGAGAUCUCAUACUUAACGAGGUUAGUCUCUCUUGAUCUAUCUAAUCAAGGUUCUUGUUAUCUGCGAUACUACACCAUUCUCGACCCAUAUUAUGGCCGGUACAACUAUUAUGAACUACAUCCUGAACUUGAACAACCACUUAAAUUAGAGAAACCAAACUUCAAGACAUUAAUCAAGAAUUUGAGGUUUCUCACAGAGCUUUAUUUGGAUGGUGUGGACAUUUCAACUCAAAGUGCUAAAUGGUGCGAAACCACAUCUCUUGUACUUUCCAACCUGCUUGUGUUGAGUUUGUCAAACUGUGGUAUGAAAGGUCCAUUAUGUUCUUCACUCUCAAGACUCUCUUUUCUUUCCAAACUUAUCCUUGAUGGGAACCCAAUCUCUUAUUUACCUCCCAAUUUCUUGGUAAAUUCCUCGCGUUUGGUUUCUCUCAGUUUAAUUGCUUGCAAUUUGAAUGGGCAUUUUCCAACCGGAAUUCACUUAUUGCCAAAAAUUCAAAGUAUUGACAUUUCAGGCAAUGACCAACUUAUGGGUCAGUUGCCAGAAUUUCCAGCAAACAAUGCUUUACAGAGUUUGUUGCUUUAUUUUACAAAUUUCAGUGGAAAACUACCUGAAUCGAUUGGUAAUAUUAAGUUCUUGACAGAUUUAGAUCUUUAUGGUUGCAAUUUUUUUGGACCCAUUCUCGUCAAUUGCAAAUCUUAGUCACCUGGUCAACCUAGAGCUAGGAGGGAACAUGCUUUCUGGAUCAAUACAUUCUUCUUUAUUCACUCUUCCAUCAUUAAAGACCUUGUAUCUUGGAGAAAAUCAAUUGGUUGGGAAAAUCAAUGACUUCCCUAAUGCAUCUUCUUCUUUUAUUGAAGAAUUAUAUAUAGGCAAUAAUUAUUUAACAGGACCAAUCCCAAAGUCAGUCCUUCAACUUCCAUGGCUUGAAUGGCUUUAUAUUGAAGGAAAUAGCUUUAGUUUUAUGAAGCUUGACACGUCUGUCCGACUGAAUAACUUGAGGGAUCUGACGUUGUUCAACACAAUCUUGUUAAUUGAAAGCGACAACAGAAGUCUUACUUUUCCCCAAUUAGAGAGACUAAGCUUAAGGUUGUGCAACCUUACUGAAUUUCCAGAAUUCAUUAAAAGACAAGACAAGUUGGUUGAGUUAGAUCUUUCUAACAACCAUAUCCAUGGUUUUGUGCCCAAUUGGUUGUGGAAGAGCAAUCUUUCAUGGGCAGACCUUUCUUUCUAUAUGAUUGAUUUUCCAAAACAGCUUCUCUUAAAUGAUGCAAACACAUUUCCAAUGUUGACAGAAUUGAAUUUGAGAUCAUGUAACAUAAGUGCGUUUCCAGAUUUCAUCAAAAUACAAGACAAGUUGGUUGACUUAGAUCUUUCUAACAAUCAUAUCCAUGGUGUUGUGCCUAAUUGGUUGUGGAAGAGCAACCUUUCAAGGGUAAACCUUUCUUUCAAUGUGAUAUUGAUUUUCCAAAACAGCUUCCCUUAAGUGAUUUAAACUUCUCUUUUUCAUUGUUGAGGAAAUUGUAUCUGGAAUCUUGUAACAUAAGCUCAUUUCCAGAGUUCUUAAAGAGUCAAGAAAAUUUAGAAUAUCUCAAACUUUCAAAUAAUAAAAUAAGUGGUGCAAUACCAAACUGGGUGUGGAAGAAAAGUUUGCGGUAUCUGCUUCUUGCUAAUAACCAUCUCUCAUCUUUGGAUCAACUUUUACCCAAUCAGAGUUCAACUUCUUCACAGGACUCCUUGUAUUUCGUCGCAUCUUAUAACAAUUUGAGUGGCCCAAUUCCAAAUUGGUUAUGCAAUAUGAGUCAACUUUACAGUUUUGAUGCAUCUUAUAACAAUUUCAAUGGCCCAAUUCCAAAUUGCUUGGGCAAUAUGAGUGCUCUGAGUUGGUUGGGUUUGCAAAGAAAUAACUUCAGUGGAAUGUUACCAAAAUUUUCAAAAGCAACCCAACUGCAGUUUCUCAAAGUUAGUGAGAAUAGAUUGGUAGGGAAGUUGCCCAGAUCAUUAGCAAAAUGCACUCAACUUAUGGUUUUGGAUGUAGGAAGCAACAUGAUCAAUGAUACAUUCCCUUUUUGGUUGGAGAAAUUGACUUACUUGAUGGUUCUAAUAUUGCGAGAAAACAGAUUUUAUGGUCAAAUUAAACAUUUGAAACAUAAAUCUGUUUUCCCAACUUUGGAUGCAUUGGACAUUGCUUCAAACCAGUUUUCUGGUGAACUAUCCAUUGAUUUCCUUCAUGCCACUCAACUAAGGUCACUCAAAAUAGGUGGGAAUAAAUUGGAAGGGAAGUUGUCGAGAUCAUUAGCCAAUUGCACAGCACUUGAGGUUAUCUAGACCUUGGAAAUAAUAUGGUUCAUGAUACAUUCCCAUUUUGGUUAGAGAAGCUGCCUUCCUUGAAGGUUCUCGUUUUGCGAGCAAACAGAUUCUACGGCACAAUUUCAAAAAUCGACACGGAACAUGGGUUUC